GAUGAACGCUGGCGGCGUGCCUAAUACAUGCAAGUCGAGCGAACGGACGAGAAGCUUGCUUCUCUGAUGUUAGCGGCGGACGGGUGAGUAACACGUGGAUAACCUACCUAUAAGACUGGGAUAACUUCGGGAAACCGGAGCUAAUACCGGAUGAUAUUUUGAACCGCAUGGUUCAAAAGUGAAAGACGGUCUUGCUGUCACUUAUAGAUGGAUCCGCGCUGCAUUAGCUAGUUGGUAAGGUAACGGCUUACCAAGGCAACGAUGCAUAGCCGACCUGAGAGGGUGGACGGCCACAUGGGAUGUGAGACACGGUCCAGACACCGGCGGUAGGAAGCGGUAGAGAAUCCUACGCAAUGGGGGAGUGGGGGACGGAGCGACACCGGGGGAGGGAUGAAGGUGUUCGGACCGGAAAACGCUGUUAUUAGGGAAGUUCAAAUGUGUAAGUAACGGGGAAGAUCUUGACGGUACCCAGUCAGAAAGCCACGGCUAACUACGUG
rnacentral:rRNA from 1 species